rnacentral:rRNA from 1 species
UACGGAGGGUGCAAACGUUGCUCGGAAUUAUUGGGCGUAAAGCGCACGUAGGCGGUCCAGCAAGUCGGGUGUGAAAGCCCUCGGCUUAACCGAGGAAGUGCAUUCGAAACUACUGGACUUGAAUACUGGAGAGGAUCGCGGAAUUCCCGGUGUAGAGGUGAAAUUCGUAGAUAUCGGGAGGAACACCAGCGGCGAAGGCGGCGCUCUGGGCCGGAACUGACGCUGAGGAGCGAAAGCGUGGGUAGCAAACAGG